rnacentral:rRNA from 1 species
GCAAGUCGAACGGACAAACUGAAGCUUGCUUUAGUUCUGUUAGUGGAAACGGGUGAGUAACACGUGGGAAUCUACCUAGCAGUAUGGGAUACCAUUUGGAAACAAAUGCUAAUACCGUAUAUUCUCUAAGGAGGAAAGAUUUAUCGCUGAUAGAUGAGCCCGCGUAAGAUUAGGUAGUUGGUAGGGUAAUGGCCUACCAAGCCGACGACCUUUAGCUGGUCUGAGAGGAUGAUC